GACGAACCGUGCGAACGUUGUUCGGAUUCACUGGGCUUAAAGGGCGCGUAGGCGGAUCACCAAGUCCGGGGUGAAAUCUUUCGGCUCAACCGGAAAACGGCCUGGGAUACUGGUGGUCUUGAGGGAGGUAGGGGCAUGCGGAACUUCCGGUGGAGCGGUGAAAUGCGUAGAUAUCGGAAGGAACGCCGGUGGCGAAAGCGGCGUGCUGGACCUCUUCUGACGCUGAUGCGCGAAAGCUAGGGGAG
rnacentral:rRNA from 1 species